rnacentral:rRNA from 2 species
UUAAGCGACUAAGCGUACACGGUGGAUGCCCUGGCAGUCAGAGGCGAUGAAGGACGUGCUAAUCUGCGAAAAGCGUCGGUAAGGUGAUAUGAACCGUUAUAACCGGCGAUGUCCGAAUGGGGAAACCCAGUGCAAUUCGUUGCACUAUCGUUAACUGAAUACAUAGGUUAACGAGGCGAACCGGGGGAACUGAAACAUCUAAGUACCCCGAGGAAAAGAAAUCAACCGAGAUUCCCCCAGUAGCGGCGAGCGAACGGGGAGCAGCCCAGAGUCUGAAUCAGCUUGUGUGUUAGUGGAACGGUCUGGAAAGUCCGACGGUACAGGGUGAUAGUCCCGUACACCAAAAUGCACAGGUUGUGAACUCGAAGAGUAGGGCGGGACACGUGGUAUCCUGUCUGAAUAUGGGGGGACCAUCCUCCAAGGCUAAAUACUCCUGACUGACCGAUAGUGAACCAGUACCGUGAGGGAAAGGCGAAAAGAACCCCGGCGAGGGGAGUGAAAAAGAACCUGAAACCGUGUACGUACAAGCAGUGGGAGCACCUUCGGGUGUGACUGCGUACCUUUUGUAUAAUGGGUCAGCGACUUAUAUUCUGUAGCAAGGUUAACCGUAUAGGGGAGCCGCAGGGAAACCGAGUCUUAACUGGGCGUUAAGUUGCAGGGUAUAGACCCGAAACCCGGUGAUCUAGCCAUGGGCAGGUUGAAGGUUGGGUAACACUAACUGGAGGACCGAACCGACUAAUGUUGAAAAAUUAGCGGAUGACUUGUGGCUGGGGGUGAAAGGCCAAUCAAACCGGGAGAUAGCUGGUUCUCCCCGAAAGCUAUUUAGGUAGCGCCUCGUGAAUUCAUCUUCGGGGGUAGAGCACUGUUUCGGCUAGGGGGUCAUCCCGACUUACCAACCCGAUGCAAACUACGAAUACCGAAGAAUGUUAUCACGGGAGACACACGGCGGGUGCUAACGUCCGUCGUGAAGAGGGAAACAACCCAGACCGCCAGCUAAGGUCCCAAAGUCAUGGUUAAGUGGGAAACGAUGUGGGAAGGCACAGACAGCCAGGAUGUUGGCUUAGAAGCAGCCAUCAUUUAAAGAAAGCGUAAUAGCUCACUGGUCGAGUCGGCCUGCGCGGAAGAUGUAACGGGGCUAAACCAUGCACCGAAGCUGCGGCAGCGACACUAUGUGUUGUUGGGUAGGGGAGCGUUCUGUAAGCCUGCGAAGGUGUGCUGUGAGGCAUGCUGGAGGUAUCAGAAGUGCGAAUGCUGACAUAAGUAACGAUAAAGCGGGUGAAAAGCCCGCUCGCCGGAAGACCAAGGGUUCCUGUCCAACGUUAAUCGGGGCAGGGUGAGUCGACCCCUAAGGCGAGGCCGAAAGGCGUAGUCGAUGGGAAACAGGUUAAUAUUCCUGUACUUGGUGUUACUGCGAAGGGGGGACGGAGAAGGCUAUGUUAGCCGGGCGACGGUUGUCCCGGUUUAAGCAUGUAGGCUGAUUGUCCAGGCAAAUCCGGAUAAUCAAGGCUGAGGUGUGAUGACGAGGCACUACGGUGCUGAAGUAACAAAUGCCCUGCUUCCAGGAAAAGCCUCUAAGCAUCAGGUAACAUCAAAUCGUACCCCAAACCGACACAGGUGGUCAGGUAGAGAAUACCAAGGCGCUUGAGAGAACUCGGGUGAAGGAACUAGGCAAAAUGGUGCCGUAACUUCGGGAGAAGGCACGCUGGUGUGUAGGUGAAGUCCCUGCGGAUGGAGCUGAGACCAGUCGAAGAUACCAGCUGGCUGCAACUGUUUAUUAAAAACACAGCACUGUGCAAACACGAAAGUGGACGUAUACGGUGUGACGCCUGCCCGGUGCCGGAAGGUUAAUUGAUGGGGUUAUCCGUAAGGAGAAGCUCUUGAUCGAAGCCCCGGUAAACGGCGGCCGUAACUAUAACGGUCCUAAGGUAGCGAAAUUCCUUGUCGGGUAAGUUCCGACCUGCACGAAUGGCGUAAUGAUGGCCAGGCUGUCUCCACCCGAGACUCAGUGAAAUUGAACUCGCUGUGAAGAUGCAGUGUACCCGCGGCAAGACGGAAAGACCCCGUGAACCUUUACUAUAGCUUGACACUGAACAUUGAGCCUUGAUGUGUAGGAUAGGUGGGAGGCUUUGAAGCGUGGACGCCAGUCUGCGUGGAGCCAACCUUGAAAUACCACCCUUUAAUGUUUGAUGUUCUAACGUUGGCCCCUUACCGGGGUUGCGGACAGUGUCUGGUGGGUAGUUUGACUGGGGCGGUCUCCUCCCAAAGCGUAACGGAGGAGCACGAAGGUUAGCUAAUCCUGGUCGGACAUCAGGAGGUUAGUGCAAUGGCAUAAGCUAGCUUGACUGCGAGCGUGACGGCGCGAGCAGGUGCGAAAGCAGGUCAUAGUGAUCCGGUGGUUCUGAAUGGAAGGGCCAUCGCUCAACGGAUAAAAGGUACUCCGGGGAUAACAGGCUGAUACCGCCCAAGAGUUCAUAUCGACGGCGGUGUUUGGCACCUCGAUGUCGGCUCAUCACAUCCUGGGGCUGAAGUAGGUCCCAAGGGUAUGGCUGUUCGCCAUUUAAAGUGGUACGCGAGCUGGGUUUAGAACGUCGUGAGACAGUUCGGUCCCUAUCUGCCGUGGGCGCUGGAGAAUUGAGGGGGGCUGCUCCUAGUACGAGAGGACCGGAGUGGACGCAUCACUGGUGUUCGGGUUGUCAUGCCAAUGGCACUGCCCGGUAGCUAAAUGCGGAAGAGAUAAGUGCUGAAAGCAUCUAAGCACGAAACUUGCCCCGAGAUGAGUUCUCCCUGAGACUUUAAGUCUCCUGAAGGAACGUUGAAGACGACGACGUUGAUAGGCCGGGUGUGUAAGCGCAGCGAUGCGUUGAGCUAACCGGUACUAAUGAACCGUGAGGCUUAACCUU